ACAGGAAGUGAUGAUGACAGUG
rnacentral:miRNA from 1 species